AUGCACAAAGAAGCAAGGGAAGCUCUGAGAGUAAUAUCUCUUCUAUCUAUGUUGUUGACAGCAACCCUUCCUCAGGCGAUUUCUUGUUCCUUGGUCACCUGGAGUUCUCUAAGUCUUGCAGAAAGGAUAGCUCUCGAACAGCCAGCUGUGCAGAAAGUACUAUAUGGCACCCCCUUGAAACAAAGAAAAUGUUCUUGUGAUGGACAGAAGGGCCCAACUGCUGAAGAUGAUGCCCCUUCUGUCAAAGAGCAGGAAGAGCCCGUUUCCCCAGAGACAAAGAAAUCUUCUGAUGGUAGCACUCACAGAGAAGAGUCCGAUAUGAAAUCGACCAAAGACGGUUAA
rnacentral:rRNA from 1 species